rnacentral:lncRNA from 1 species
CUUCUGUCCAGGGGGUCUCUGGCAAAGAAACGUGGUGACUCACUCAAAAUUAGAUCUUGGCCCCAAGCAAGUACACCAACACCCUUCAGGAUCAUUAGAUAUAUACCCUGUGGUUUAUCAAGUCUUGCCCAGGGGUGGAGUUAAGGCGUACCUACAGAAAUAAUAACUGACCACCUCCUUUGUUCCAGACCACUGUCAAUCCAAAUGAAAACAUUUGACUCUAUCUUCUUUUUUGUACCUGCCACAGAAAUAAUAAUUGCAUCUACAAAUUUGU